UACCAAGGAUUCCUUUCAAUGGCCAGAAGC
rnacentral:piRNA from 1 species